rnacentral:rRNA from 1 species
AACGAACGCUGGCGGCAGGCUUAACACAUGCAAGUCGAGCGCCCCGCAAGGGGAGCGGCAGACGGGUGAGUAACGCGUGGGAAUCUACCCAUCUCUACGGAAUAACGCAUGGAAACGUGUGCUAAUACCGUAUACGUCCUUCGGGAGAAAGAUUUAUCGGAGAUGGAUGAGCCCGCGUUGGAUUAGCUAGUUGGUGGGGUAAAGGCCUACCAAGGCGACGAUCCAUAACUGGUCUGAGAGGAUGAUCAGCCACACUGGGACUGAGACACGGCCCAGACUCCUACGGGAGGCAGCAGUGGGGAAUAUUGGACAAUGGGCGCAAGCCUGAUCCAGCCAUGCCGCGUGAGUGAUGAAGGCCCUAGGGUUGUAAAGCUCUUUCACCGGUGAAGAUAAUGACGGUAACCGGAGAAGAAGCCCCGGCUAACUUCGUGCCAGCAGCCGCCGUAA